rnacentral:rRNA from 1 species
ACAUAACCUUUAGCUAAACAAAUAUUAAAGGCAACGCCUGCCCAGUGAACAAUUAAACGGCCGCGGUAUCCUAACCGUGCAAAGGUAGCAUAAUCAUUUGUCUACUAAUUAUAGACCUGUAUGAAAGGCAAAAUGAGGGUCCAACUGUCUCUUAUAAUAAAUCAAUUAAACUGAUCUCCUAGUAAAAAAGCUAGAAUAACAACAUAAGACCAGAAGACCCUGUGAAGCUUAAACUAAACUAUUAAACCAUAUAAUAAAUACUUUCGGUUGGGGCGACCUUGGAAAAAAAAAGAACUUCCAAAUAACAUGAUUAUACCUCAUACUAUAAAACAGGCCAACAAGCCAAUAAAUGACCCAGCACAGCUGAUAAUUGAACCAAGUUACUCCAGGGAUAACAGCGCAAUCUUCUUCAAGAGCCCAUAUCAAAAAGAAGGUUUACGACCUCGAUGUUGGAUCAGGACAUCCUAAUGGUGCAGCCGCUAUUAAGGGUUCGUUUGUUCAACGAUUAACAGUCCUACGUGAUC